UCCAAAUUGAGAAAAGUCAGCCACGUCCCAUGGAACAAACGGCUAUCAGAUGUGACAUGGGCAUCUCUCUCUCUCGGUCCUGGAAAGGAAGUCCUCUUUUCUAAGAAAUUGUCUUUAACUACCCUGAGAUCAUGACCUGAGCCGAAACCAAGAGUCAGUUACUGAACCAACUGAACCCCGCAGGUGCCCCUUACACAUCCUUUCAGUCAUUCAUUCAACAAGCAUUUAUGAGCUCCUGGUAUGUUACAGAUCCAGUGCCAGGCCUGAGGGAUCCACCCAGGAGCUGAUAGGGACCUGCCUCUAUGGAGCUCACUCCCAGCAUCUUCUACACUCAUGUCCAUCCUUUUACCUUUCAAGGACCCUGGAUUCCUCCACUGUCUUUCAAGGCCACGGAGCAGAAGAAUGGAUGGGACUUGAGGUUGGUGGCAGAAAGAUAAAAGAAUACUGAGGCGCCAAGAGGUCCAGCGGGUUUCCCAAGACCAUCCAGUGGGAAGUAACAAAGCCAAGGUUAGAAGCAGAGCCUUUUUGUACUUAUCCAGAGCCCUUUUCUUGAGGUUGUGGUUCUCAGCCUGGGCGAUGCUUCAGAAUCACCUGCAGAGCUUCCAAACCCCACCAGGCCCCCAGAGACUGCCACCCAGUUCUGGUGGUGACCCUUACAGGACAUUUUUGAAGACUCCUGGUUAUGCUCACAGGUAGGGGACAUCCCAGGUAUCUGAUUAGGCUCGCAUCCCCUCUGCAUGAAUGUGGAUUCCAGCCUCCUCCCUGCUCAAGGUCUAUCUCUCAUCUACCUCCCAGAAGACUUACUAUCCGGGAGGAUCAGCAGCUCUAUUUCUUCUGCUUCACCCACCCCUGCCAGACCGUGGAGGUUUAGAAAGUUGCUCAGCUCAGCCUGGUGAGUGCAGAGGCUAUCGGCUCUGAGGCUUACCAUUGGGGCCACCCGACAUGGGGCCGACUGUGUUGUCUUGGCAAGUGGAAAAGAGGAGAAGCAGCCCCACCUGGCCCCGUCAGCCAGGAGAAGGCCAAGGGGGUGAGGAGUAGCCCUGAAUGACCUAGGCUGAGAGAAAAGAGGGAAAGAGAUGGAAAAAAAGAGAAAGGAGAAGAGGAGAAGGAGAGCCCACCCCUUGGAAGAUUAUUUCAAGCCGCUCUGUGCUGAAACCACCUCACCCGGCCACUGCAGGAGAGGUGACCUGGCACAGCAUUCAGGAGCACAGACGCGGCGGUGGCCUGUCUGAGCUCGAAUCUGGGUUCUGCUUAUGAGUAGCAUGACUUGGCUCCAGGAGGAAGGAAAUUACCCUUCAAAAUCCAGAGCAGA